GACACAACUCUAGAAAAAACUAUUUCGAGUGGAAGAAGGCGGAAAAAAGCCUGAUAUAUUCUGCAAUGUUCAUUUAAAUUUGUUUUGUAUACAUUUGAUAGCGUAGAGCCAGCUAAGUCUUUUAAAGUUGGGCUGUUACCUAGCGGCACAUAUGUUUGAACUCCUUGGAGUCAUGCCACACAGGAAAAUUAACUUAUUAAUUGUACAAUCUACUAGUGUUUAAAUAUGUUAAAUUUGAUAAGUUUUCAUGUAGAUUUAAGUUAAAUAAGAAUAUGUAACACCAUUUCUGUAGGAGUGCAAAAAGCGGGAUAAAUCAAACUUUUUGUAAAAAUGCCGGGAUUUGACGGUAAAAAAGCUAUUUCGGCAACACUGAUAUUUAUUAUGAUUCGCUUUCCUGAGGAAGGGUUUGCUGAAGAUAAUAAAGCAUCUCCCCAAACAGAUAAGCAGCAUCAAAAAGAAAUAUUAAGCAAAUCGCAUUACCAUACGCUAAUAUCCCCGGAAGUUUGUUCAGAAACCUUCAAGAAUAAUUACUCACAAAAAGAUCGUUUUCCUAAUAACAUGUCAUACGCAACCCAUAUUGUAAAGUCGAGUUCACCAGCUUCAAGCUUGGGAGAGUCAGUAUUUACCUCUGAGUUUGGUAAUCAAAUACUAGCAUCUCAAGGUCAACAAAUACAGACAAUGACCCCCAGUGGUGAUAUUAACUUUUACAGUUUUCCUGAUUUUAUUGCUGACCAUGAAAAGACUAUUUUGUCAGAUGCUGAAAAGCUUCUAAUAUCAAAAGAGAAUGAUAUUUACAGUAAUGAAUAUAAUCAAAUACAUGAUGUUUUUGCCAUUCGCAAAUAUUACCAUCCUUUAUUCGCUCAUGGAAUAUGCCGCUGGCCAGGUUGUGAAGUGGAUUUGGAAGAUAUUUCCUCGUUUGUAAAGCAUCUAAAUUUGGAACAUGCGUUAGAUGACCGAUCGACAGCCCAGGCUCGAGUACAAAUGCAAGUUGUUUCACAACUGGAAUCUCACCUGCAAAAGGAAAGAGAUCGCUUGCAAGCUAUGAUGCAUCAUUUAUACUUAUCAAAACAACUAUUAUCGCCAUCGAAAAUGGAUCGAAAGGAUGUUUCUGGAAAUGACAAGAGUUUAUGCAGUGGAACAUCUCCACAUGUAAUAAAUAAUGUAGUUCGAUCUCUAUAUCGACCGCAAUCUCCCAGCUCGAUUAACCAUCCUAUUGUUAACUCUAGUAGUUUAUCGGCUGUAAAAAAAAGAAGUCAUGAAAAAAAUACGUUUUCUGUUACUGGUGGCUUGCCUUACAUGCUAGAAAGGGCAGGACUGGAUGUACAACAUGAAAUACAACGCAAUAGAGAGUUCUAUAAAAACGCCGACGUUCGUCCACCAUUUACAUAUGCUUCCCUUAUUAGACAAGCUAUCAUCGACUCACCUGACAAGCAGUUGACACUAAACGAAAUAUAUAAUUGGUUCCAAAACACAUUUUGUUACUUCAGGAGAAAUGCAGCAACUUGGAAGCCUCGCUUUGCAUUAACUGUUAUGUUUUGGAUAGUUUAAGGAACAGAACAUAAAGGACAAAAACAAUAUGUAACAUUUGCUAUAAUAGAACUGGAAGCUCUUUUCAGUUAAAGGCUGAGUGCGUAUCACUUGUGCAAUUAUGCUCUCUAGUGAUAAGCACUUUGUCAUGAUUAAUAUGUAGAGUGAACAUUUUAUUACGCAACUGGUUGAUUCCCUUUGGACCGGCUGGCUCAUCGGUUCUCUUGGUGUAGUCCUAUCCUAUCAACGCUACUACGUCGGUAGCAAAACAGACAACAACUAAGUGAAAAUAACUAAAAUCGGGCCCCGGUUCCGGAGCCAGCGUACCCGCCCUACCU
rnacentral:misc_RNA from 1 species